ACCGGCGAACGGGUGCGUAACACGUGAGCAAUCUGCCGAUUUGAGGGGGAUAGCCGGCCCAACGGCCGGGUAAUACCGCAUACGCUGAGAGAGUGGAGUCACUCUGUCAGGAAACCUUUUGGGCAAAUCGAGGAGCUCGCGGCCUAUCAGCUAGUUGGCGGGGUAAUGGCCCACCAAGGCGACGACGGGUAGCUGGUCUGAGAGGAUGGCCAGCCACAUUGGGACUGAGAGACGGCCCAGACUCCUACGGGAGGCAGCAGUGGGGAAUCUUGCGCAAUGGCCGAAAGGCUGACGCAGCGACGCCGCGUGGGGGAUGAAGGGUUUCGGCUCGUAAACCCCUGUUGCCCGGGACGAAUCCUAGGUUUCGACCUAGUUGACGGUACCGGGUGAGGAAGCACCGGCUAACUCCGUGCCAGCAGCCGCGGUAAUACGGAGGGUGCGAGCGUUGUCCGGAAUCACUGGGCGUAAAGGGCGCGUAGGCGGCUUGGGAAGUCCGUGGUGAAAGCUCGUGGCUCAACUGCGAGUCGGCCAAGGAUACUCUCGAGCUCGAGCACUGUAGAGGCAGGUGGAAUUCCGGGUGUAGCGGUGGAAUGCGUAGAGAUCCGGAAGAACACCGGUGGCGAAGGCGGCCUGCUGGGCAGUAGCUGACGCUGAGGCGCGACAGCGUGGGGGAGCAAACAGGAUUAGAUACCCUGGUAGUCCACGCCGU
rnacentral:rRNA from 1 species